UGAAAUUGCAAAUUCAGACGCAAAGUUAUUGGAAUCUGCAUGUCGAGGAUUUCUAAUAUGUAGCACCGGAGGACACAGUAGGAAGCCCCGAUGACCGGCAGCCCUCCAGGAGCUCUAACCACCGAUCCCUGUGUGUGGGACCUCAUUCAGGCUGGAUCGCUAUUGAGACAGAAAUUGUGAUUUUCUCAGAACUACUUCUGCUAAAAAACGCAUGUGAAGAGCCGGCUAGAAAGGGUCAGAUACUGUUCAACUACAACUAACUUCUCAAAGUUUGGGGGUCAGCCUGAAGAGUCCACUGUUGUACAGCAGGAUCUAAACCCACAUAGCAUGAUCUAAUGCAACAACCUCCACUAGGUGUGUAGGAUUUGGAAUCGGACAAGGUCAGUUACAGAGUAUGCUCCUAGCUAAAAAUUACAAGAUCUGUCGGCAGAACACACUUACGUUCAAGUCAGAAUUGGUCCCAUUGUGUUUAAAUGAAAGCAAAUGUUUGUAUGCUUUGGCCGGUGGCUGUUGUAUGCUUGUCCCCAAGGAGUUCUCCAAGGAUUAAUAAAAGGUGAUGCGUGACUUAUUUUUCACAAGUUACCGUCAAAAUUU